AACGAACGCUGGCGGCAGGCCUAACACAUGCAAGUCGAACGCUGUAGCAAUACAGAGUGGCAGACGGGUGAGUAACGCGUGGGAACAUACCCUUCGGUUCGGAAUAACUCAGGGAAACUUGAGCUAAUACCGGAUACGUGCGAGAGCAGAAAGAUUCAUCGCCGAAGGAUUGGCCCGCGUUCGAUUAGCUUGUUGGUGAGGUAAUGGCUCACCAAGGCGACGAUCGAUAGCUGGUCUGAGAGGAUGAUCAGCCACAUUGGGACUGAGACACGGCCCAAACUCCUACGGGAGGCAGCAGUGGGGAAUAUUGGACAAUGGGCGAAAGCCUGAUCCAGCCAUGCCGCGUGAGUGAUGAAGGCCCUAGGGUUGUAAAGCUCUUUCGUCAGGGACGAUAAUGACGGUACCUGAAGAAGAAG
rnacentral:rRNA from 1 species